rnacentral:misc_RNA from 1 species
AAGUCGUAACAAGGUCUCCGUAGGUGAACCUGCGGAGGGAUCAUUAACGAGUUAGGGCCUCUGGCCCGAUCUCCAACCCUCUGUCAUCGAAACCUCGUUGCCUCGGGGGCGACCCUGCCUCACGGCUGGUCCCCCGGAGGAUCACUACAACUCUGCAUUUGAAUGUCGUCUGAGUAAACAUUUUGAAUGAAAUCAAAACUUUCAACAACGGAUCUCUUGGUUCUA